rnacentral:rRNA from 1 species
GAUGAACGCUGGCGGCGUGCCUAAUACAUGCAAGUAGAACGCUGAAGGAAGGAGCUUGCUCUUUCCGGAUGAGUUGCGAACGGGUGAGUAACGCGUAGGUAACCUGCCUGGUAGCGGGGGAUAACUAUUGGAAACGAUAGCUAAUACCGCAUAACAGUAGAUGUUGCAUGAUAUCUACUUAAAAGGUGCAAUUGCACCACUACCAGAUGGACCUGCGUUGUAUUAGCUAGUUGGUGAGGUAACGGCUCACCAAGGCGACGAUACAUAGCCGACCUGAGAGGGUGAUCGGCCACACUGGGACUGAGACACGGCCCAGACUCCUACGGGAGGCAGCAGUAGGGAAUCUUCGGCAAUGGACGGAAGUCUGACCGAGCAACGCCGCGUGAGUGAAGAAGGUUUUCGGAUCGUAAAGCUCUGUUGUAAGAGAAGAACGAGUGUGAGAGUGGAAAGUUCACACUGUGACGGUAUCUUACCAGAAAGGGACGGCUAACUACGG